UACGAAGGGGGCAAGCGUUACUCGGAAUUACUGGGCGUAAAGCGUGCGUAGGUGGUUUGUUAAGUCUGAUGUGAAAGCCCUGGGCUCAACCUGGGAAUUGCAUUGGAUACUGGCAGGCUAGAGUGCGGUAGAGGAUGGCGGAAUUCCCGGUGUAGCAGUGAAAUGCGUAGAGAUCGGGAGGAACAUCAGUGGCGAAGGCGGCCAUCUGGGACAACACUGACGCUGAAGCACGAAAGCGUGGGGAGCAAACAGG
rnacentral:rRNA from 1 species